rnacentral:rRNA from 1 species
UUAUAAGAGACAGCAGUAGCCGCGGUAAUACAGAGGGUGCGAGCGUUAAUCGGAUUUACUGGGCGUAAAGCGUGCGUAGGCGGCUUCUUAAGUCGGAUGUGAAAUCCCUGAGCUUAACUUAGGAAUUGCAUUCGAUACUGGGAAGCUAGAGUAUGGGAGAGGAUGGUAGAAUUCCAGGUGUAGCGGUGAAAUGCGUAGAGAUCUGGAGGAAUACCGAUGGCGAAGGCAGCCAUCUGGCCUAAUACUGACGCUGAGGUACGAAAGCAUGGGGAGCAAACAGGAUUAGAGACCCGCGUAGUCCCUGUCUCUUAUAA